UACGAAGGGGGCUAGCGUUGCUCGGAAUCACUGGGCGUAAAGGGUGCGUAGGCGGGUCUUUAAGUCAGGGGUGAAAUCCUGGAGCUCAACUCCAGAACUGCCUUUGAUACUGAGGAUCUUGAGUUCGGGAGAGGUGAGUGGAACUGCGAGUGUAGAGGUGAAAUUCGUAGAUAUUCGCAAGAACACCAGUGGCGAAGGCGGCUCACUGGCCCGAUACUGACGCUGAGGCACGAAAGCUAGGGGAGCGAAUGGG
rnacentral:rRNA from 1 species